rnacentral:lncRNA from 1 species
AUGAACCUUCAAGUUGUGAACGUUCGAAGACGUAAACGUGUGAAAUCGCAGCUUGCCUUCUGUCUCCUGUUGCUGAUGACCCUUCAGCUCUACCAUCUCCCUCCUCCCCUCCCUCUCCAGUCAGUAACUCUUCUUGCCUGUUCACUCGAUGCCAGCCCCUGUUGUCCUGUACUACUGUGCUUUUCAACAUACUGUACUUUCAGAUUAAAAAUGUUUUAUUUCUUUGUGUUUGUUUCAUAUGUAUUAUUUGUGUGAAAACUAUCAUAAACCUAUCACAGUACAGUACUAUAUAGCUGACUGUUAGCUGGCCACCUAGGCUAACUUUGUUGGAUUUAACAAAGAAGCUGGACUUAAGGAACGCACUCUUAGAAUGGAACUUGUUCAUGUGUAGCGGAACUACUGUAUGUGAAAGCUAAGAAAUGGAAAUGAGAGGAUUGUUGCAACUGCUGUUUACCAGUGUUGUGUGUAUGUGUAUGGGUGUGUGUGUGCACCGGUGUCCCUAUUUUAUUUUUUUUUAAAUGGCAAGUAAAUAAGUAAAUGAUGGUAUGCACUAGGAGGUCGAGUUACCAAUAAAUUAUCACUGUUAAUGUUCUGGGAAACGCUGAAGCUAUGCUAAAAAGUUGAGAGGAGAAGCAGAUAUUGGAGAAGCAGAUACUGGAGAUGUAAACCAGGUUUUAAAUUCUAGCUGUACACGCCUGAGCAAACCACUUAACCUGUGUGUGUCAGGAUGACUGGAAGGACAAUGAGACGGUGAAGUAUUAAGGUUUGAUAUUUGGUAAUUCAAUAAAUAUUUCCACAUAUGUAAUAAAAACAAGAUACUGAAAGACCAGGAGAAAUGAAUCAAAUAUUAGUUUGCAGGUUAUGGGAUUAUACUUUUAUGUAAAUAAGAAUUUUUUCUGUUAUUAACAAACUUAUAAUAGCUGACAAACAGGGUUGGAAGAGUAGCUUCAGUUGAAAUUUCUAUUCUGAAUAUUUGGAGAACAGAAACUACCCUAACUUUUAAAUUACAAAUAAGUCGCACUUUAGUAACAUAUACUACUCUUCUUCAGUUCUCAGGGAAGUAAUAUUGAGGAAGUUCCUGUCAUGAUAUGACUCUGGGAUGUGAUAUUGAUUGGUGGGAUUGAAAAAUGGUGGUAUCACAAAGUGGUCUUAACAAGUUACUGGAGUUAAAGUGUUUUGCUUUCAAUCAGGGGAAAAAAAAUGAUGUUUUUCCUCUGAGUUUCUUCACAAGUUACCUUAAAAUGUUGGUUCUUUCCCUCAUCGCUUUUAAAAUUGUUCUUUCUGCACUUUAUAUAUUCAUUUAUUUCCCAGGGUUCAUUUAUUGCCUCUUUGGGGAAUGAUUUCCAAGUAUAAGUUAUUCCACUAGGAGUAAAAAAGUGUUAGUUGCUCAGUCGUGUUUGACUCUUUGCAACCCCAUGGACUGUAGUCAGCCAGGCUCCUCUGUCCAUGGAAUUCUCCAGGCAAGAAUACUGGAGUGGGUAGCCAUUCCCUUCUCCAGGGGAUCUUCCUGACCUAAGGAUCAAACCUGGGUCUCCUGCAUUGCAGGCGGAUUCUUUACUGUCUGAGCCACCAAGAAGUCCUAGAUCCAAAUUUCUAAUAAAA